rnacentral:rRNA from 1 species
GACGAACGCUGGCGGCGUGCUUAACACAUGCAAGUCGAACGGAAAGGCCCUGCUUUUGUGGCGUGCUCGAGUGGCGAACGGGUGAGUAACACGUGAGUAACCUGCCCUUGACUUUGGGAUAACUUCAGGAAACUGGGGCUAAUACCGGAUAGGAGCUCCUGCUGCAUGGGGGGGGUUGGAAAGUUUCGGCGGUGGGGGAUGGACUGGCGGCUUAUCAGCUUGUUGGUGGGGGAGUGGCUUACCAAGGAUUUGACGGGUAGCCGGCCUGAGCGGGUGACCGGCCACCAUGGGGCUGAGGUACCGCCGCGACUCCUCCGGGGGGCAGCAGUGGGGAAUAUUGCACAAUGGGCGGAAGCCUGAUGCAGCAACGCCGCGUGCGGGAUGACGGCCUUCGGGUUGUAAACCGCUUUCGCCUGUGACGAAGCGUGAGUGACGGUAAUGGGUAAAGAAGCACCGGCUAACUACGUG